GCGGGCCUGCGCUUUCUGCCCUCCUCUUCCGGACUCUCCCUGGGCUGACUCGGCAAUACCCCGGCUGUACCCAGGCUGUACCCCGCAGGCUUCCAUGCUGCUCCUCCCACAAGCCCGACAGGAAAGGACACAGACAGAGACAGAGGAAGAGGCCACAGGAGGAUGGAGUGACAGGUGUCCAGGCCGAGGAACACCAAGGAUGGCCAGCAGCCACCAUCAGCUAGGAGGGGGGCCUGGGACAGUUCUUCCCCACAGCUUCCAGAAGAAAUCCACCUUGCUAACACCUUGACUUCACACCCUGGCCUCACGAACUGCAAGACAUUUCUGUUGUUUUAAGUCCCCCAAUUAUGGUAAUUCCUUAUGGCAAUCUGAGGAAAUGAAUAAACUGCGUCUUGUUCUA